rnacentral:misc_RNA from 1 species
GAUGAAGAACGCAGCGAAAUGCGAUAAGUAAUGUGAAUUGCAGAAUUCAGUGAAUCAUCGAAUCUUUGAACGCACAUUGCGCCCCUUGGUAUUCCAUGGGGCAUGCCUGUUCGAGCGUCAUUUGUACCUUCAAGCUUUGCUUGGUGUUGGGUGUUUGUCUCGCCUCUGCGAGUAGACUCGCCUUAAAACAAUUGGCAGCCGGCGUAUUGAUUUCGGAGCGCAGUACAUCUCGCGCUUUGCACUCAUAACGACGACGUCCAAAAGUACAUUUUUACACUCUUGACCUCGGAUCAGGUAGGGAUACCCGCUGAACUUAAGCAUAUCAAUAAGCGGAGGA